AAUGACCUUGAAUGAGU
rnacentral:miRNA from 1 species